GACGAACGCUGGCGGCGUGCUUAACACAUGCAAGUCGAACGGUGAAGCUCCAGCUUGCUGGAGUGGAUCAGUGGCGAACGGGUGAGUAACACGUGAGCAACCUGCCCCUGUCUCUGGAAUAAGCGCUGGAAACGGCGUCUAAUACUGGAUACGAGAAGGGUCCGCAUGGGCACUUUCUGGAAAGUUUUUCGGUUGGGGAUGGGCUCGCGGCCUAUCAGCUUGUUGGUGAGGUAAUGGCUCACCAAGGCGACGACGGGUAGCCGGCCUGAGAGGGCGACCGGCCACACUGGGACUGAGACACGGCCCAGACUCCUACGGGAGGCAGCAGUGGGGAAUAUUGCACAAUGGGCGAAAGCCUGAUGCAGCGACGCCGCGUGAGGGAUGACGGCCUUCGGGUUGUAAACCUCUUUCAGCUGGGAAGAAGCGAAAGUGACGGUACCUGCAGAAGAAGCACCGGCUAACUACGUG
rnacentral:rRNA from 1 species